UUAACGCGAAGAACCUUACCAGGUCUUGACAUACUAUGCAAAUCUAAGAGAUUAGACGUUCCCUUCGGGGACAUGGAUACAGGUGGUGCAUGGUUGUCGUCAGCUCGUGUCGUGAGAUGUUGGGUUAAGUCCCGCAACGAGCGCAACCCUUAUUAUCAGUUGCCAGCAUUAAGUUGGGCACUCUGGUGAGACUGCCGGUGACAAACCGGAGGAAGGUGGGGAUGACGUCAAAUCAUCAUGCCCCUUAUGACCUGGGCUACACACGUGCUACAAUGGAUGGUACAACGAGUUGCGAACUCGCGAGAGUAAGCUAAUCUCUUAAAGCCAUUCUCAGUUCGGAUUGUAGGCUGCAACUCGCCUACAUGAAGUCGGAAUCGCUAGUAAUCGCGGAUCAGCAUGCCGCGGUGAAUACGUUCCCGGGUCUUGUACACACCGAA
rnacentral:rRNA from 1 species